UCCACCAUCCACUACGUUCUUGUCCACGCGUGCCUAAAAACUCGUCGUAACAAGUACAAUCACUCAACUUAUCCAAGUGUCGAUCCCUUUAUUCGCUGCAUUAAUACUCGAAAAGACAAGGUAGGCUGAUCAUACACUUGGUCAAAAAGUGUUACUUUUACCCUACAAUGGUCCACGUCAAGGUCCAGAACAACUUCAUGGCUAGAUGUAUAAUCUAAUUGGAUCUUGGAACAUGUUGUUGACACCGGUUCACUGGUCGUUGAGACUAUUUCCAUUGCAUUCGUCCCUCAAUCUUUUCUGAAUGGAAACAUUUCAAGAGUGAGGGAAAUAAAUUUUUCAUUUUUGAUGAAGGAGAGUAAGGGAAAUAAAUGAAUGAUUCGAUGGUGGGUUUUCGGUCUAGCAGCAACAACGAGUCUUAAUAUGAGACUUCUUUGGACAGUAUGAUCGCUAAAAAAAAUUGGUUUUAGAGAUGGAAGAAUCCAUUGCUAAACCACUAAAUUUCGUGACUAAAGCCAUUUAGCGAUGGAAUAUUGUCUGUCGCUAAAAACACUCAUAGAUAACCCUUUAGCAAUGAAUUAUUGACAUUCAUCGCAACCCUUAGAGACAGAUUAGCGACAAACAAUUUUGCUGCUAGUAUAGCAACG
rnacentral:lncRNA from 1 species